GCUGGGUGGAUUAGUGGCGAACGGGUGAGUAACACGUGAGUAACCUGCCCUUAACUCUGGGAUAAGCCUGGGAAACUGGGUCUAAUACCGGAUAGGAGCGUCCACCGCAUGGUGGGUGUUGGAAAGAUUUAUCGGUUUUGGAUGGACUCGCGGCCUAUCAGCUUGUUGGUGAGGUAAUGGCUCACCAAGGCGACGACGGGUAGCCGGCCUGAGAGGGUGACCGGCCACACUGGGACUGAGACACGGCCCAGACUCCUACGGGAGGCAGCAGUGGGGAAUAUUGCACAAUGGGCGCAAGCCUGAUGCAGCGACGCCGCGUGAGGGAUGACGGCCUUCGGGUUGUAAACCUCUUUCAGUAGGGAAGAAGCGAAAGUGACGGUACCUGCAGAAGAAGCACCGGCUAACUACGUGCCAGCAGCCGCGGUAAUACGUAGGGUGCGAGCGUUAUCCGGAAUUAUUGGGCGUAAAGAGCUCGUAGGCGGUUUGCCGCGUCUGUCGUGAAAGUCCGGGGCUUAACCCCGGAUCUGCGGUGGGUACGGGCAGACUAGAGUGCAGUAGGGGAGACUGGAAUUCCUGGUGUAGCGGUGGAAUGCGCAGAUAUCAGGAGGAACACCGAUGGCGAAGGCAGGUCUCUGGGCUGUAACUGACGCUGAGGAGCGAAAGCAUGGGGAGCGAACAGGAUUAGAUACCCUGGUAGUCCAUGCCGUAAACGUUGGGCACUAGGUGUGGGGACCAUUCCACGGUUUCCGCGCCGCAGCUAACGCAUUAAGUGCCCCGCCUGGGGAGUACGGCCGCAAGGCUAAAACUCAAAGGAAUUGACGGGGGCCCGCACAAGCGGCGGAACAUGCGGAUUAAUUCGAUGCAACGCGAAAAACCUUACAAAGGCUGGAAAUGUUCUCCACCCCCGUAAAAAAACCGGUUCCCCCUUUGGGGCGGUUCCCCAGGUGGUUCCAAGGUUGUCUUCA
rnacentral:rRNA from 1 species